rnacentral:rRNA from 1 species
UACGAGAGCCUCAAGCGUUAUCCGGAAUUAUUGGGCGUAAAGGGUGUGUAGGCGGUAAUGUUAGUCUCAUGUCAAAGCCUGUCGCCAAACGACAGAUCCGCAUGGGAAACGGCAUAACUAGGAGGGUGCGAGAGGUGAAUGGAACUCACGGUGUAGGGGUGAAAUCCGUAGAUAUUGGGAAGAACACCAGUGGCGAAGGCGGCUCACUGGCCCGCAACUGACGCUGAGGCGCGAAAGCGUGGGGAGCAAACAGG